AUAAAAGGACUUGUUGAUUUCACAAUCCAACCAACUAUGGGAACCGAAGUGGAAAAUCACCAUCUUAAAGGCCAAGCAAAUCUAAGAUGAGGGUGGGGGAGAGAGAAAAGUUAAAAAUAAGAGCAAUGAUGAAAUAAAACUGAAGGCCAAGUCAGAGUCAGUUUGGAGAGGGAGAAGAAAGAAACAAUGUGGAAAAGACACAGAUUCUAAGACCUAAAAUCACCAGCUCAAAACUUCUUCUGUGUAUCACUUUAACAACUUUAACCUCUGACGUCACAGCGGUGCUUGGCAACAGUUCUCUCAUUUGGAAGUGCCUGUUGAUACCAAUUUGCAGUUGGAUUAUGUGGGAAAGAGGCUUUUCUUCGUUACAGAAUUUCAGCAUCAACAUCAAGGACAUGAGUGGAUGCCUCACAUGUGAGCAUACGCUGUGAUAUUUUAAUGCGCCUAAACUCCUACAAAAUCUAGAAGGUGUCGCAGCAGUUGCUCUCCUUUGUCUCUUGUUCGCUACCUGCUUCGAUCUCUGGACAAGGUGACGCCGCGGUGACAGUGGCAGCUGGAAUCCAGCUGCCGGGAAAUAUUUUGUAAAUAAGGAUUGAGGCUUCUUCCAUCGAUGGUCCAGAUAACACCCAAGUUCUGAGUUAACCGGCCAGCACAGACGCGGAGAGCCGUGUCCACACAUUCUAGAGAGGAGGGGUGGUCUGUUUCUGGCAAAAAUGCCACCCCUCCCUGCCCAAAGAAAAACAGCCUAAUUAUUCAAUGUGACUGUCAACGUUAAUCAGAUUAUCCAGAAGGUACU